CUGAAAUAAGGCAAUUCCUUCUAUGUGUGGGCACUCUGAAGAUCUUUGCAAGAAUGACAUCUUUGCAGUCGGGGCUGGGCUUCCUCCUUUCGGUUGGUUGGCUGGCAGCUGCUGCAGCUUCUGCUGGGACAUAUCCGGUAAGACAAACUCCAUAUAUAACAUACAUAUCGCCCUUGCCUUCACUUGCAAAGUAUGUGUGGACUGGUGAUCAGUGUGGACCCCUUCUUGAUAGCAGUACCUUGAUGGGAAUUAAUUGCUACAAACCAAAUUCAGUGCUUUGAGCAUGGAGGUGGAUGUUAACUGUCCUUCCCCUUCAUGUCUCCUAAGUAGUGUGUGAGGUGGGGAUGUCUUCUCCAGAUCUUUGAAGGGCUUCAGUGUAUGUAUGUCACAAGCAGUGCAAUGAAAGUGCCACUCAGGUCACUGGGAGAGUGGUCCAUCUCGCUGGCCCCGACGCCCGAGUGACAGGGGAAUCCUCACAGCCCUGAACUUUCCAGCUGUUUGAAGUACAGAGCCGGUACUGAUCUGAAUUUUGCAGGUGGCAGCUACCUAACAUGACAAGAUGGGAACUCUGGAUCUAGACACUUGUGUGUUUUCAGGCCGAAUCCAAGUGCAAACGUUUGCAGCUCACAUCCUUGUCUGUAUUAAAUGGUCACAAAUAAUGCUGUGUUACCAUUGUAACCACAUGAGAUCAUCUCUCUUCUCUUUCUCCCUGUCUAGUGCUUGAGCAGCCCUGUCGAUGGUGAGUUUCUUACCAAGUAAUUUUCCUAAGGAAGAUUCAAACACAGCUCUCUGUGUGUAUUUCUGUCACGUUUCCUUUAUCCCUGUCUCUCUCUCUCUUUUUUGGGGAAUCAGAAGCUGCUGUGUGUGCUUCAGUGAAAAGCGUCAGCCGGGAGAUGCUUCUUGAGGUAGCCCAUGGUCAAGCUUCCCCCUGCAACCUCACCUUUGGUCAAUACGCCUGUGCGCAGAGCGCUUGGCUCCAGGACCUUAAGGAUGAUUUCCUCAUAUCCUUAUAUUCUUGCCUUAGCCCUAAGCCUGUCAGUGCAGUGGAUCCAGCAUACUCCAUUCUGUUCUUUUCCAAGUACGAUGCCAACAAGCUUGUAGCUGCCCUGACUGCCUUCAGCCRGCGGUUUUCUCAUGUGCCUCUCUCGCAAAACUGGAGCAUGAUCUUCAUUAAUGGCCUGUGGGAGAAGAUGUUACAAGUACCUGACAUUGACAGCCCACCCGUUUUGUUUCGAUGGGUCCAUGAGGGGCUUCAGCCAUUCCUGGUGAAGCCCACGGUCUUUGCUUGCCUCCAUGCCAAAAAAGUGUUGUGCAAGACUUUUCAGGAGAUAGUUACUGCCCUGAACGGCAUCUAUUCUAAMCUUCCAGUAGAAGAACAGAGGAAUCUUUACAAUGGGAUCAAGUACUACCUCAUCCAGGAUGGUAAAUGACUUCUUUUUCCUUAAGAAACAACUACUUUAAGCCCCUAAUGUAUGUUACAAUGAUAGCCAUGAUCUGUGAAGCCUCAGCUCUGUAACAGAUUUAUAGUGAAUUUAUACUGUCUCUUUAGUGCU
ensembl:lncRNA